UAUGACUUGUCAACGUACUAUUUUCAAAUUAUUUACGCUCUUUAGCAUGACGUAUGAAAAAUGAAAACAGCUUAUGGCUUAUAUACAAACAGUUUGACUUUAUUUUAUCGUUUGUUAUAUGGGAAUAAUUUAUACAUAAGCAGUUGAUAACAAGCAUUUAUGCUAGAAGAGAUUAAUCACCCAAAUAGACCGUGAGAGCACAAAACCCAACUUGGAUCCUCAACUUAUUUGACAUGUCCAUAUACUAUUUUCAACUUAUUUACAUAAGCUCUUUAGCAUGACAUAUAAAAACAACUUAUAGCUUAUAUAAAAAUAGUUUGACUUUAUUUUAUCUAUUUAUAGAAAUAGUUUAUACAUAAACAGUUAUAUGAUAAGCAUUUAUGCUAGAAGCGCUUAAUCACCCAAAUAGACUGAGAGCACAAAACUCAAAUUGGAUCCUCCGGCACUAUCUAAAGCCAAAUCUCAGUCUCCACAGUUGGAUUAAUCUAACUGCUCAAAAGUGUAUAUCUUUGCCG
rnacentral:lncRNA from 1 species